UACGGGGGGGGGCAAGCGUUGUUCGGAAUUACUGGGCGUAAAGGGCGCGUAGGCGGCCAGCACAAGUCAGUUGUGAAAUCUCCGAGCUUAACUCGGAAAGGUCAACUGAUACUGUGCGGCUAGAGUGCGGAAGGGGCAACUGGAAUUCUUGGUGUAGCGGUGAAAUGCGUAGAUAUCAAGAGGAACACCUGCGGCGAAGGCGGGUUGCUGGGCCGACACUGACGCUGAGGCGCGAAAGCCAGGGGAGCGAACGGG
rnacentral:rRNA from 1 species